AAGUAGUUGGUUUGUAUGAGAUGGUU
rnacentral:ncRNA from 4 species